UACCAUUUAGUGGAAGUAGUGAACACUAUUAUAGCUCAAUUUACAGGUAAGUUAUAGUCUACAACAACCAAACUCGAAAAAGCACAUACUUGCCACUAAAUACACAGGUUUCCUUGAAAAUUUGGGCAAGUGAAGAAAGACUACUAAGGAAACCAUACAAGCAAGUAUGAAGAACUUAUUUAACCUUGUUAUAGUUUAUGGAGCAAUUACAGAUCCCUUCUGCACAUUGGGCAAGAGCCAUGUCUCAACAGCCAUGUGUCGAUGCAUGGCAAGUGAAACAUGUGAUGACAUUGUGGCAAACAUCUAACAGUUUCUCCAAGUUGAAAGUCCUGUAUGCAUAUAAUAG
rnacentral:lncRNA from 1 species